GAUGAACGCUGGCGGCGUGCCUAAUACAUGCAAGUCGAGCGAACAGAUGAUGAGCUUGCUCCUCUGACGUUAGCGGCGGACGGGUGAGUAACACGUGGAUAACCUACCUAUAAGACUGGGAUAACUUCGGGACACCGGAGCUAAUACCGGAUAAUAUAUUGAACCGCAUGGUUCAAUAGUGAAAGACGGUUUUGCUGUCACUUAUAGAUGGAUCCGCGCCGCAUUAGCUAGUUGGUAAGGUAACGGCUUACCAAGGCAACGAUGCGUAGCCGACCUGAGGGUGAUCGGCCACACUGGAACUGAGACACGGUCCAGAGUCCUACGGGAGGGAGCAGUAGGGAAUGUUCCGCAAUGGGCGAAAGCCUGACGGAGCAACGCCGCGUGAGUGAUGAAGGUCUUCGGAUCGUAAAACUCUGUUAUUAGGGAAGAACAAAUGUGUAAGUAACUAUGCACGUCUUGACGGUACCUAAUCAGAAAGCCACGGCUAACUACGUG
rnacentral:rRNA from 1 species